rnacentral:rRNA from 1 species
AUUGAACGCUGGCGGCAGGCCUAACACAUGCAAGUCGAGCGGAUGAAGGGAGCUUGCUCCUGGAUUCAGCGGCGGACGGGCGAGUAAUGCCUAGGAAUCUGCCUGGUAGUGGGGGAUAACGUCCGGAAACGGGCGCUAAUACCGCAUACGUCCUGAGGGUGAAAGGGGGGGAUCUUCGGACCUCACGCUAUCAGCUGAGCCUAGGUCGGAUUAGCUAGUUGGUGGGGUAAAGGCCUACCAAGGCGACGAUCCGUAACUGGCCUGAGAGGAUGAUCAGUCACACUGGAACUGAGACACGGUCCAGACUCCUACGGGAGGCAGCAGUAGGGAAUAUUGGACAAUGGGCGAAAGCCUGAUCCAGCCAUGCCGCGUGUGUGAAGAAGGUCUUCGGAUUGUAAAGCACUUUAAGUUGGGAGGAAGGGCAGUAAGUUAAUACCUUGCUGUUUUGACGUUACCAACAGAAUAAGCACCGGCUAACUUCGUG